rnacentral:rRNA from 1 species
AGAGUUUGAUCCUGGCUCAGGACGAACGCUGGCGGCGUGCCUAAUACAUGCAAGUAGAACGCUGAAGACUUUAGCUUGCUAAAGUUGGAAGAGUUGCGAACGGGUGAGUAACGCGUAGGUAACCUGCCUACUAGCGGGGGAUAACUAUUGGAAACGAUAGCUAAUACCGCAUAACAGCAUUUAACCCAUGUUAGAUGCUUGAAAGGAGCAAUUGCUUCACUAGUAGAUGGACCUGCGUUGUAUUAGCUAGUUGGUGAGGUAACGGCUCACCAAGGCGACGAUACAUAGCCGACCUGAGAGGGUGAUCGGCCACACUGGGGCUGAGACACGGCCCAGACUCCUACGGGAGGCAGCAGUAGGGAAUCUUCGGCAAUGGGGGCAACCCUGACCGAGCAACGCCGCGUGAGUGAAGAAGGUUUUCGGAUCGUAAAGCUCUGUUGUAAGAGAAGAACGUGUGUGAGAGUGGAAAGUUCACACAGUAACGGUAACUUACCAGAAAGGGACGGCUAACUACGUGCCAGCAGCCGCGGUAAUACGUAGGUCCCGAGCGUUGUCCGGAUUUAUUGGGCGUAAAGCGAGCGCAGGCGGUUUAAUAAGUCUGAAGUUAAAGGCAGUGGCUUAACCAUUGUUCGCUUUGGAAACUGUUAGACUUGAGUGCAGAAGGGGAGAGUGGAAUUCCAUGUGUAGCGGUGAAAUGCGUAGAUAUAUGGAGGAACACCGGUGGCGAAAGCGGCUCUCUGGUCUGUAACUGACGCUGAGGCUCGAAAGCGUGGGGAGCAAACAGAAUUAGAUACCCUGGUAGUCCACGCCGUAAACGAU